rnacentral:tRNA from 1 species
CAGGAAAUAGUUUAUUUAAAAUAGUAAUUUUGGAGAUUAUAGAUGGGAAUUUCUCUUUUCUGA